rnacentral:rRNA from 1 species
UACGUAGGGGGCUAGCGUUGUCCGGAAUCAUUGGGCGUAAAGAGCGUGUAGGCGGCCAGGUAGGUCGGUUGUGAAAACUGGAGGCUCAACCUUCAGAGGUCGACCGAAACCAUCUGGCUAGAGUCCGGGAGAGGAGAGUGGAAUUCCUGGUGUAGCGGUGAAAUGCGCAGAUAUCAGGAAGAACACCCGUGGCGAAAGCGGCUCUCUGGAGCGGUACUGACGCUGAGACGCGAAAGCGUGGGGAGCGAACAGG